rnacentral:rRNA from 1 species
UACGGAGGGGACUAGCGUUGUUCGGAAUUACUGGGCGUAAAGCGCACGUAGGCGGAUUUGUAAGUCAGGAGUGAAAUCCCGGGGCUCAACCUCGGAACUGCCUUUGAUACUGCAAAUCUCGAGUCCGGAAGAGGUGAGUGGAAUUCCUAGUGUAGAGGUGAAAAUUCGUAGAUAUUAGGAAGAACACCAGUGGCGAAGGCGGUUUAC